rfam:Vibrio sp. EJY3 chromosome 1, complete sequence.
UUCCCCGUUCGAUGUUCUGAUGAAUAUUGUUGUCGUAAACGGUUCGCCAAAACCGCUUGUUUGAUUGCUUAGUACCCAAUCAAUUUAUCACACAAUUUCCAAUUAGAACUGACAACGGGCUUUUCG